rnacentral:rRNA from 1 species
AGCGAACGCUGGCGGCAGGCUUAACACAUGCAAGUCGAGCGGGCGUAGCAAUACGUCAGCGGCAGACGGGUGAGUAACGCGUGGGAACGUACCUUUUGGUUCGGGAUAACCCAGGGAAACUUGGGCUAAUACCGGAUAAGCCCUUACGGGGAAAGAUUUAUCGCCGAAAGAUCGGCCCGCGUCUGAUUAGCUAGUUGGUGAGGUAACGGCUCACCAAGGCGACGAUCAGUAGCUGGUCUGAGAGGAUGAUCAGCCACAUUGGGACUGAGACACGGCCCAAACUCCUACGGGAGGCAGCAGUGGGGAAUAUUGGACAAUGGGCGGCAAGCCUGAUCCAGCCAUGCCGCGUGAGUGAUGAAGGCCCUAGGGUUAGUAAAGCUCUUUUGUGCGGGAAGAUAAUGACGGUACCGCAAGAAUAA